rnacentral:rRNA from 1 species
AACGAACGCUGGCGGCAUGCCUAACACAUGCAAGUCGAACGAGACCUUCGGGUCUAGUGGCGCACGGGUGCGUAACGCGUGGGAACCUGCCCUUAGGUUCGGAAUAACUCCCCGAAAGGGGUGCUAAUACCGGAUAAUGUCUUCGGACCAAAGAUUUAUCGCCUUUGGAUGGGCCCGCGUUGGAUUAGCUAGUUGGUAGGGUAAAAGCCUACCAAGGCGACGAUCCAUAGCUGGUCUGAGAGGAUGAUCAGCCACACUGGGACUGAGACACGGCCCAGAAUCCGACGGGAGGCAGCAGUGGGGAAUAUUGGAAAAUGGGCGAAAGCCUGAUCCAGCAAUGCCGCGUGAGUGAUGAUGGCCUUAGGGUUGUAAAGCUCUUUUACCCGGGAUGAUAAUGACAGUACCGGGAGAAUAAGCUCCGGCUAACUCCGUG